AUAUGUAUGUGUGUGUGUGUGUGUGUGUGUGUGUGUGGAUGUGUGUGUGUGAUAAUGCAUACUGACUAUAUAAGUUCUAAGUGAUAGUAUGUGCCCUUGCAUGACAAUAAGCAGCAUGCCCUAGAGCCAGGCUAUGUUCAGGAGUGAGUGGCAAUGCCUGCCUGGGACUAUGGCAGCUUAUAUUUGUAGAAUGAGCCUUGAAUGGCAAUGUGUGCCAUUGUAGACUGUGUGUCCUUCUCCCUGUAUGAUUGUAUGGCUCAGAUAUCACUGCUCCCACUUGCUUGCCUCCCAUUAGGGCCCCUCCUGCCACUGAGUCAGGAUCAGGAAGCUCAGGACUGCGCUCCUUUUCCUCCCUACCCUGAAGCCUCAGGUUGCUUCCAAGCUAGAAGGUGAAAGAAGGGAACAGAGGAGAGAAGAGGCAGCUCAGAGCGCAUCGGUGCAGGAAUCCACACAGCAAGCAUCCAGCUCAAACUGCAGCAGAUGCACUGAAUGAGAAAACAGAAGCCUAGAGAAACAUGGAUUCAUUCAGUUGCUGCUACUGGGUAAUAGACAAGUAUCCUGACUGGAGUGGUCCAAAAAAGGACUUGGUAACCAGACCCAGAGCUCACCCCAGAACAUCUAGGGAAGGGUUAUACCACAGAGGAAAAUCUCCGAAGAGAAACUGGAAACAGGAGUUAGGAGCCACCACAGAGACAACGUCAUGUACAUCUCAGAGGAAGAUGGUCACAGACAUGCUGGACUCUGGAUUCUGAGAAGCUCUGGAUUCAGUAUGUGAAAUCCUGAUGACAAAGCUGAGGAAGAUUUGAGAGACCUUGGAGAUAAAAGGUAUCCUUAUGGAGAUCAACCAUACACUGUGCAACCUUCACUCCCUCAAACCAUAAUUGGCAUGACUUCACUCUAGAAAUGGGGAAAGAGUGAAGGAGACUCAGCCCCUCUCCUUCCAGCACCUCUCUGAUGGCAAGCAAAGACAAGGGAAGGGACACCUAGUCCGUGGUAUACGUUGUGCAUUUAAUAUUCACAAGGCCCCACCUGGUGGAAAUGAUGUUUAGACAGAGAUUGAAAAGGUAACUAAUAGUGUGCCAGAGAGAAAACUGGGGGAGCCCAGAGGUCACCAGAGAAAUGUCUGUGUGUGGCAAAUAAGCCAGGGCCUUGCCGGACAUAUGUGAGAAGAAUGAAACACCAAGUGACAGCUGGUGAUUAUUUUUGGACUGAGGGGGUAAAAUCCUUGAGAACUAAACCUCUUGAGACCUUCUGCCCAAACCCCCAGAGCACCUCCCUGGGAUCAGAGCCAAGUCCUCAAACUCAGAUAGAUUUGAGAACUCAAACUGAUCAGCCUGGACCAUGUGUAUGUAGACAG